UUAGAGUUUGAUCAUGGCUCAGAUUGAACGCUGGCGGCAUGCUUUACACAUGCAAGUCGAACGGCAGCACGGGCGCAAGCCUGGUGGCGAGUGGCGAACGGGUGAGUAACGCGUCGGAACGAAACACACAGAGGGGGAUAACGCCGCGAAAGCGGUGCUAAUACCGCAUAUAACUCUGAGGAGGAAAGCUGGGGACUGGAGACGGCCUGGCGCUGAGUGAUCGGCUGACGUCUGAUUAGCUAGUUGGGGAGGUAAAGGCUUCCCAAGGCGACGAUCAGUAGCGGGUCUGAGAGGAUGAUCCGCCACACUGGGACUGAGAGACGGCCCAGACUCCUACGGGAGGCAGCAGUGGGGAAUUUUGGACAAUGGGCGCAAGCCUGAUCCAGCCAUGCCGCGUGUCUGAAGAAGGCCUUCGGGUUGUAAAGGACUUUUGUCCAGGAGCAAGACUUAGAGAUGAAUAGUUUCUAGGGGUGAGAGUACUGGAAGAAUAAGCACCGGCUAACUACGUGCCAGCAGCCGCGGUAAUACGUAGGGUGCAAGCGUUAAUCGGAAUGACUGGGCGUAAAGAGUGCGUAGGCGGUUACGCGAGCUUGAUGUGAAAUCCCCGGGCUUAACCUGGGAAUGGCAUGGAGGACAGCGUAGCUAGAGUCUGUCAGAGGUGGGUAGAAUUCCCUGUGUAGCAGUGAAAUGCGUAGAGAUGGGGAGGAAUACCGAUGGCGAAAGCAGCCUGCUGGGAUAAGACUGACGCUGAGGCACGAAAGCGUGGGGAGCAAACAGGAUUAGAUACCCUGGUAGUCCACGCGGUAAACGAUGUCAACUAGCUGUUGGGGGUUUGAAUCCUUGGUAGCGAAGCAAACGCGAGAAGUUGACCGCCUGGGGAGUACGGCCGCAAGGCUAAAACUCAAGGGAAUUGACGGGGACCCGCACAAGCGGUGGAUGAUGUGGAUUAAUUCGAGGCAACGCGAAGAACCUUACCUGCUUUUGACAUGCUUAGGACGGUUGAGAGAUUGACUGGUGCCCGAAAGGGAGCUAAGACACAGGUGCUGCAUGGCUGUCGUCAGCUCGUGUCGUGAGAUGUUGGGUUAAGUCCCGCAACGAGCGCAACCCCUGUCCGUAGUUGCCAUCACGUUAUGGUGGGCACUUUACGGAGACGGCCGGUGACAAACCGGAGGAAGGUGGGGAUGACGUCAAGUCGUCAUGGCCCUUAUGAGCAGGGCUUCACACGUCAUACAAUGGUUGGUACAGAGGGACGCGAACCUGCGAGGGGGAGCCAAUCUCAGAAAGCCAAUCGUAGUCCGGAUUGCACUCUGCAACUCGAGUGCAUGAAGUCGGAAUCGCUAGUAAUCGCCGAUCAGCAUGCGGCGGUGAAUACGUUCCCGGGUCUUGUACACACCGCCCGUCACACCAUGGGAGUGGGGGAUACCAGAAGGGGGUAGGCUAACCGUAAGGAGGCCGCUGACCACGGUAUGCUUCAUGACUGGGGUGAAGUCGUAACAAGGUAACCGUAG
rnacentral:rRNA from 1 species